rnacentral:lncRNA from 1 species
AUCCACGUUUAAAACAGAGCUAUUUCCAGUCAUGCUAGCAGGCCCCUUGACUGUUAAUUACCACCCUCUAUCUUUGCAGUGAAUUUUAUCUUUCUGUUUGCUACAAUUUUUUGCAUUUAUAGUGUUGAAGUAUGACUUUUAGCACUUGAAGUGUUAUUAAAUAGUAUCUACGCAUUAUUAGCAGUAGUAAGUAACUCAAUAAUGGCUCUUAAUAUGGCAAUCCAAUUUAGGAGCAGCCAUCAUUUUUUCUGGUAAUACAGCUGUUUAUAAAGUGAGCACUCAGAAGUUUAUUAUUGAGCAAAAGUUGUAAUGUAAUGUGCACUAAGAAAACACAAGUGGAGCUAAGAGGACAGUUGUCUGCCAUGUAAGAGAUGACUGCUAAAACAGUAGCAAGCUAUAGAGACAAGCAUAGAGUGAAGUUUGACCAAUCAUCACAGUGAAAAUACAUCAUGGUUUCAUUUAUCAUCAUUAGGGUUGUCAUUCAAAGAUCAUCAUGCUUGCAUUUACUUUUGAGACUACUGAGUAUUUUUUGGUUCUUAAGAAAUUGGCCACUAUCAGAAUUAAUAAAUAAUAUUAACAAACUUCAAAUGUUAUUUAUUGUAAUUCUUUGAGCUUACCUUGCAUACAAUUGCUCCAGCAAGGAUCUACCAACAGAAAAGGCUCCUAAAAACACUUGGCAAUGGAUUUGACUUAUAGAAUCCAUUCCAUAGCAUCAUCAAUUCUACAUGGGAAUGUCACCUGCUCCCACUGGGAGAUACUACUGAAGUAUACAAGUAACUCCCCGUACGUAAAAAAACAUGAAUCAACUGUGAUUCAUAUUAGCCACAUUACAUACAGCUAGAAAGAUCAAAUAUUCAGGAUUUAUUUAUGUCCAAUAGGCUCAAUCACCUGUUGCAUUGGAUAGAUACAACUAAUAGACUAGAGGGACCACUAAUUUUUCACUUAUUUGUUUAAACUGUGGUGGUCCUGAUUGAUGUGAACCACACAGGUAGUGGAGUAGUCUCCAUGAAAAAUUUGGAGUACUAAUUGCAACUCCCAAUGGGUGCUAUAGCAUUCCUGCAUUUGUUCAAGCAGCAACAACUAUAUUAAUAAUCUGCUCUGUAACAUCCUUAAGAUAUAUAUCAUAAUGCUUUCAGAAAUCUUUCCCAGGAAUGUUCUCACUACAAACUUGUACAUUCCCGCAAAAAUUUUGGGUCAUGCUAUAAUGUUGCUUCUGUAAGUAAACCAAGCAGACCAAGGAGUUAGACUCAUGUGCGUGCACAUGUAGUGUUCAAAAAUUAGAUGAGAAAUCCAAUACAUAGGAGAAUAUCUCCCUCAAAUGAGAGGGUGCUCCUUAAGGAGGAAUCGGAUUUUACUUAAUUUAAAGUGCAUAUAUUGAUCAUGAAAGGAGCAGACAUCUGAAAGAAAAAGACAAGCAGAGCAUAGGCUUCUUUACAGAGCCACAAGGGUAGCCCUUGGGAUGAGCUUCAUGCCAUCACCCCAGUGACCCAGAAACAACUGAGAACAAAUUAAAAAUUAGUGUCCCCACCAAAGCUUUCAUAGCAUCCACCUAAAGUUUAUUUGAACGUGACAAAAAGAUAUCUUAUAUAAAUGAAAUUCUAUAGUUUCUCCUGAAGGGAAAUUUCCUUUUGGGGGGAAGUUGUUUUCCAGGAGACAGCAAAUUCCCUCAUUGCCUUUUUAAGAAUUACUUGAAGACUUAUAGCAAACAUUACUAUCAGACAGAAACAUACAUCAUCCAACAGUAAUGGAACAUAUAUUUUAGUUAUUUAUUUAUCUUGUUUUUCCAUCAAAAGAAAGAGAGAUGAGGAAGUUUGCCCAAGGAGAACUGCCAUAAGAUCAUGGUCAUGAGUCCAACUUCUAAAUAAGAUAAGAAGAUUCAAUUCUUCUACUUUUUUUUUUUUCUUUUUUUUUUGAAAUUUUUUAUUAGCAAACGAGGCAAAUAUGAUAAUAAAGAAAGCACCAGAAAAAGGUUCCCAAGAGGAUUCAAUUCUGAGAGAAGGAUUUUGUAAAGAUCUUUGUUGAGUAGUAGCUCUGAACAAAAUAAUCUGUUCUAAUGUGUCAAAAUAUAAAAUGGUAUUUCCUAGUUUUUUUUUUUUUUUUCUUAAUUAAAAAUUUGUUUAGGACAUUGGAAUUUUUUAUAGCGGCCUUCUUUCUUGCACAGUCCUGCAAAUGAUAUCUACAAAGGAGGAUAUAGUGUAUAAACAGAAGGAAAGGAAUUGUAGGCUUUGAGAAAUAAAUAAUGAUAGUCAAUUCUAAAAUACUAGAUAAAAUAUGUUUGCACCAAGGUUAGUAUAUAUUAGAAGGCAUAAUGUGGUUCAAAUCCAUCCAGCAGAUGGGGCUGGAGGGCUGGAAUCCAUGGUAAAGUAGUCCUCAGAAAAAUCCCUACUAAAUUUACCAGCCAACUGAAGACAGGUAAUAUUUUAGUCUAAAGCACUUGCUGCUGUAACAGGGCCAUAAGUAUGAGGUAUACCUGUAGCUCUAAUCCGAAUGCUUCGCUCUGAUCCUUUUGACCAAUUCUCCAUCCCUAGAGCACAUCAAAGAGUACAUGAUUAAAUUAAUAACUAAACAAACAUAAACCGGACUGGGACAGUCUCCAUUGUCCUAAUCCAUGGACUCUUCUAUUUGGAUUAUUCCAUUGAGUAGCAUCUCUUCCUUUUUCCUAACAUUAGAAGAUGACAACUUGUAGAGAUAAAUAAGGUGAACACCCAAACAACAAUAAACACUGAACUGACCAUGUACAGCAAUCUUUGUGUGGAAAAUUGGACACCCAGUUAUGACUGGUGCUGCUUUCUCGGAGAUCUACCAUAGUGGUCCACUCCUAUGAAAACUGCAGCCGUACUCACUUCCAGGGGUAAUAUAAACACCUAAAAUAACAAGCAAAUGAAGUUAUAAACAAGACUCUAGAAUAGAGGGUAUACAAUAUACAGGCAGCAUGUUAAUAAGUGGCCACAGCAGGAGAGAAAGAGCACCAACAAUGAACUGGCAAUUGCUUUUUUCAACAGUAAUCAUCUGGGCAUCUUUCUCCUGCUAUGCAUGAGAAGUCUCUAAUUUUAGACUCCACCGGCUUGUUGGGGUCUCCUUAGAUGCACUUACAAGGAUUAUCCUCUUCACUUGCAUGUGAAUAAAAUUAAGGUUCUUCAUGCUUUAAAAGCAAAGUUCUGAUCGAAAAUCACCACUAAAAGCAUCAACCUAUCAUUAGGGGCGAGACAUAUCUUAUACUUGUAAAGAAGAAUAGUUUUAAAGUGGGAUGCUUCUUGUCCUCCUCUGCAUUGUCAAU